GGAGAGAUGCCCGAGAGGCCGAAGGGAACGGUUUGCUAAAUCGUGGUACCGUUUCGGUACCGAGGGUUCGAAUCCCUCUCUCUCCG
rnacentral:tRNA from 1 species